rnacentral:rRNA from 1 species
GACGAACGCUGGCGGCGUGCUUAACACAUGCAAGUCGAACGGAAAGGCCCUGCUUUUGUGGGGUGCUCGAGUGGCGAACGGGUGAGUAACACGUGAGUAACCUGCCCUUGACUUUGGGAUAACUUCAGGAAACUGGGGCUAAUACCGGAUAGGAGCUCCUGCUGCAUGGUGGGGGUUGGAAAGUUUCGGCGGUUGGGGAUAGACUCGCGGCUUAUCAGCUUGUUGGUGGGGUAGUGGCUUACCAAGGCUUUGACGGGUAGCCGGCCUGAGAGGGUGACCGGCCACAUUGGGACUGAGAUACGGCCCAGACUCCUUCGGGAGGCAGCAGUGGGGAAUAUUGCACAAUGGGCGGAAGCCUGAUGCAGCAACGCCGCGUGCGGGAUGACGGCCUUCGGGUUGUAAACCGCUUUCGCCUGUGACGAAGCGUGAGUGACGGUAAUGGGUAAAGAAGCACCGGCUAACUACGUG